UGCCAGCAGCCGCGGUAAUACGGAGGGUGCAAGCGUUGUUCGGAAUUAUUGGGCGUAAAGAGCAUGUAGGCGGACUGUUAAGUCUGAUGUGAAAGCCCGGGGCUCAACCCCGGAAGUGCAUUGGAUACUGCAUGGCUAGAGUAUGGUAGAGGGAAGUGGAAUUCCGAGUGUAGGAGUGAAAUCCGUAGAUAUUCGGAGGAACACCAGUGGCGAAGGCGGCUUUCUGGACCAAUACUGACGCUGAGAUGCGAAAGCGUGGGGAGCGAACAGGAUUAGAUA
rnacentral:rRNA from 1 species